GUGUUUUUAGUCAUUGUAGUUUCUAACCCAGUCUUCAAGGUACAUUGACGGUCCAGGUUUUGUCAAUGUGUCCACUAGAACAGAAUGUCGAAAUGCCUUUAUUCUGUACUCUUGGUGUAAUAAAAGGUCCUGAUGACUGAUCACGAGCUACAAUAUUCUCUUACAGCUUCUAUUAAAAAAAAAGAGAGAGAAACAGAAUGUGGAAAAUAAUUAUAUGGACAAAUAUCUAAAGCAAACACAAGUAACAAAAAAUAUUACAGAGGAUACACCUCUUCUAUGUUUGAAACUUCACAAAAAAAUGUGCCGAUAGAAAAGGAUGGUCAGAAAUAUAAAAAGAACUGCACGUGGCAACUAUGACCUAUUGAAUUGCCUAUUCUUUUGCAAUUGGCAAAACAAAGAACUUAAUAUUUGUUAUACUUAAACUGUAAUUUUCCAUUUCUUGAAUGAAAAUUAUGUUUGUAUUCUUUCUUGAUAAACUAAUUUAUUUUUGUUCUAGUGCAUUAACAGAUGCAGAUUAAAG